CUUUAUUGAAUCAAAGUUGUCUCUUUUUUAUUUAAAGUGUUCAACUAUGGACCCAUGGCUAAAACUCAAAUUUUUAAAACUUUCGAAAAUCAGAAAUUGAACUUUCUCGAGUGAAUUUAAUGUAUCAAAAUGUCCUUUUUCCCCUAAAUUUGGAAUCGCCCUCAUCAAAUUUGUACACUUGAAAAUAUCAUUUCUUGAAUCAAAGUUGUCUCUUUUUUAUUUAAAGUGUUCAACUAUGGACCGAUGGCUAAAACUAAAAUUUUCAAAACUUUCGAAAAUCAGAAAUUGAACUUUCUCGAGUGAAUUUAAUGUAUCAAAAUGUCCAUUUUCCCCUAAAUUUGGAAUCGCCCUCAUCAAAUUUGUACACUUGAAAAUAUCAUUUCUUGAAUGAAAGUUGUCUCUUUUUUAUUUAAAGUGUUCAACUAUGGACCGAUGGCUAAAACUGAAAUUUUCAAAAAUUUCGAAAAUCAGAAAUUGAACUUUCUCGAGUGAAUUUAAGGUAUCAAAAUGUCCUUUUUCACCUAAAUUUGGAAUCGCCCUCAUCAAAUUUGUACACUUGAAAAUAUCAUUUCUUGAAUCAAAGUUGUCUCUUUUUUAUUUAAAGUGUUCAACUAUGGACCCAUGGCUAAAACUCAAAUUUUCAAAACUUUCGAAAAUCAGAAAUUGAACUUUCUCGAGUGAAUUUAAGGUAUCAAAAUGUCCUUUUUCACCUAAAUUUGGAAUCGCCCUCAUCAAAUUUGUACACUUGAAAAUAUCAUUUCUUGAAUCAAAGUUGUCUCUUUUUUAUUUAAAGUGUUCAACUAUGGACCCAUGGCUAAAACUCAAAU